rnacentral:rRNA from 1 species
AGAUUGAACGCUGGCGGCAGGCCUAACACAUGCAAGUCGAGCGGUAGAGAGGUGCUUACACCUCUUGAGGGCGGCGGACGGGUGAGUAAAGCCUAGGAAUCUGCCUGGUAGUGGGGGAUAACGCUCGGAAACGGACGCUAAUCCGCAUACCGUCCUACGGGAGAAAGCAGGGGACCUUCGGGCCUUGCGCUAGUCAGAUGAGCCUAGGUCGAUUAGCUAGUGGUGAGUAUGGCUCACCAAGGCGACGAUCCGUAAUGGUCUGAGAGGAUGGAUCAGUCACACUGGAACUGAGACACGGUCCAGACUCCGUACGGGAGCCAGCAGGUGGGAACUGUUAGGAC